AAUUUGGGUCAAAAAGGGAAAAAAAUGCUGUGAAGAUAACAAUAAAUUUAACAAGAAACUAUCCUGGUUGGGUUCACUACCAAAAUCUUCCCUUUAAAAAAAUCCAACAAUUACCCAUCAAAAUUCACUCAUCUAACUUCUCAAAGAUAAAUGGGACAGUCAAUCAACGCCGUUCAUACCGAGAAUUUCAUUUCCACUUACUCAUGAGACUCUGGUUUCUUGUUAAGGAGUCCCUCUGAAGCAAACAAACUGCAGCAGCAGAGGAAGAUGGGAACUUGCAUAACUGAAGUAUAAGAUCAUGAGGAAGACAUUUUUAUCUGAAUUUGCCGGUGUACAUGAACAAGAAACUCGAUGUAUGAAGGGCCAUUGGAACUUUUAUCUUCUAUCAUAUUUGAAAAGAAUAGCAUCCCUGACUGGUCUCCUUUCUUGCACAACCUCAAGCGUAGGUAGGAACAUCUUUGACGUCGUAUCUCAUUCAUCAAAUCAUUGAGUUUCUUUGAUAGAGGAUUGUCAUACUGCUGCAGCACAAACUGGGCAGGAAUUUCAUCAACUGAGGAAAUGCCAAAUAACUGCUGCAAUAUGUCUAUAUCAACCAAGUUCCCAAUAUAUACUAAACAAUCUUCACCAUUCUCAAGAAGAUAAAUUCCCUCUUCACUCACGUGCUCACUGGAAAGAGGAAUUGGAGUACCCGGAGUCGAAUCACCAUCCUCUGUGUCAAGGUUAUGUAUAGCCAACAUUCUA
rnacentral:misc_RNA from 1 species